UAAUACGGGGGGUGCAAGCGUUGUCCGGAAUUACUGGGCGUAAAGGGCGUGUAGGCGGCUUAUUAAGUCAGAUGUGAAAGCCCACGGCUUAACCGUGGAACUGCAUUUGAAACUGGUAGGCUUGAGUAUGAGAAGGGGUAGUGGAAUUCCCAGUGUAGCGGUGAAAUGCGUAGAUAUUGGGAAGAACACCAGUAGCGAAGGCGGCUACCUGGCUCAUUACUGACGCUAAUGCGCGAAAGCGCGGGGAGCAAACAGGAUUAGAUACCCUGGUAGUCCGCGCCGUAAACGAUGGAUACUAGAUGUUGGUUGUUUUUUAACGAUCAGUGUCGCAGCUAACGCAUUAAGUAUCCCGCCUGGGGAGUACGAUCGCAAGGUUG
rnacentral:rRNA from 1 species